UACAGAGGUCUCAAGCGUUGUUCGGAUUCAUUGGGCGUAAAGGGUGCGUAGGCGGCGCGGUAAGUCGGGUGUGAAAUCUCGGAGCUUAACUUCGAAACUGCAUUCGAUACUGCCGUGCUUGAGACUGGAGAGGAGACUGGAAUUUACGGUGUAGCGGUGAAAUGCGUAGAUAUCGUAAGGAAGACCAGUGGCGAAGGCGGGGUCUCUGGACAGUUCCUGACGCUGAGGCACGAAGGCCAGGGGAGCAAACGGG
rnacentral:rRNA from 1 species